rnacentral:rRNA from 1 species
GAUGAACGCUGGCGGCGUGCCUAAUACAUGCAAGUCGAGCGAACGGACGAGAAGCUUGCUCCUCUGAUGUUAGCGGCGGACGGGUGCGUAACACAUGGAUAACCUACCUCUAAGACUGGGAUAACUUCGUGAAACCGGAUCUACUACCGGAUAAUAUUUUGAACCGCAUUGUUCAAGAGUUAAAGACGGUCUUGCUGUCACUUAUAGCUGGAUCCGCGCUGCAUUAGCUAGUUGGUAAGGUAACGGCUUACCAAGGCAACGAUGCAUAGCCGACCUGAGAGGGUGAUCGGCCACACGGGAACUGAGACACGGUCCAGACUCCUACGGGAGGAAGCAGUAGGGAAUCUUACGCAAUGGGCGAAAGCCUGACGGAGCAACGCCGCGUGAGUGAUGAAGGUCUUCGGAUCGUAAAACUCUGUUAUUAGGAAAGAACAUAUGUGUAAGUAACUGUGCACAUCUUGACGGUACCUAAUCAGAAAGCCACGGCUAACUACGUG